GACGAAGGGGGCUAGCGUUGUUCGGAAUUACUGGGCGUAAAGCGCGUGUAGGCGGUUGCCCAAGUCGGGUGUGAAAGCCUUGAGCUCAACUCAAGAAAUGCACUCGGUACUGGGUGACUAGAGGACCGGAGAGGAUAGUGGAAUUCCCAGUGUAGUGGUGAAAUACGUAGAGAUUGGGAAGAACACCAGUGGCGAAGGCGGCUCUCUGGGCCUUUCCUGACGCUGAGACGCGAAAGCGUGGGGAGCGAACCGG
rnacentral:rRNA from 1 species